GACGAACGCUGGCGGCGUGCUUAACACAUGCAAGUCGAGCGGUAAGGCCCUUCGGGGUACACGAGCGGCGAACGGGUGAGUAACACGUGGGUGACCUGCCCUUAGCUCUGGGAUAAGCCUGGGAAACUGGGUCUAAUACCGGAUAUGACCUCAUGACGCAUGUUGUGGGGUGAAAGCCUUGUGCGGCUAGGGAUGGGCCCGCGGCCUAUCAGCUUGUUGGUGGGGUGAUGGCCACCAAGGCGACGACGGGUAGCCGGCCUGAGAGGGCGACCGGCCACACUGGGACUGAGACACGGCCCAGACU
rnacentral:rRNA from 1 species